GUCUUGAUAGCUCAAUGGUCAGAGCACCCCCCGUGUACGAGGGGAGACCCAGGUUCGAAUCCCGGUCAAGACC